CAUCAAUGGAAUUAAAUUGGAUGUCAUAAAAUAUUGUUGAUGAUGAAUUCUGCAUAAUUUUAUCGACAAACUUGUUCAGUUAUGUGCUGCUUGAGCUAUGUAUCUACCAAACACAUGAUGAUGCUAUUGUAGUUUGUGGUUUGCUAUAAACCUAAAAUAUGACUGUAAUAGUCAUUUUGAUAGAAGAAUGUCUUUAAUGCCCUGAGUAGUGUUCAUCGAAUUCUAUGUGUUACUAGUGCAGGCAUCGCCUGACUGACAUUUGAUGAUACCUUCGUUUUAUCGACAAACUUGUUCAGUUACGUGCUGCUUGAGCUUGUAUCUACCAAACACAUGAUGAUGCUGUUGUAGUUUGUGGUUUGCUAUAAACCUAAAAUAUGACUGUAAUAGUCAUUUUGAUAGAAAGGAAUGUCUUUAAUGCCCUGAGUAGUGUUCAUCGAAUUCUAUGUAUUACUAGUGCAGGCAUCGCCUGACUGACGUUUGAUGAUACCUUCGUUGUAGAAAAAUAUGAGGUACCCUUAUAGAUUUGAAUAUUUUGCUUGUUAUCUCUCAGCUGAUAUGGUUCGUUUGACGUUGUACUCUCCUAGAAUUUUUUUUUUUUUUGGGUGCUUUCUGACUAAACUGAGACUGUUAC
rnacentral:lncRNA from 1 species